CAAACAUCCCCCCCUUCUGCCCAUCUCUACCGACAGCUGGCUGGGGAACAGUGUUGCUGAGGCAGGUGCCAGUGACUGGAUCCACUGCUUCUACAAUGACAAAAGGCCUUUCCUCUAACGUGGCAACUGUUAAGUGACGAUUAUCCGACACAGGCUCCAACACUCCAUCCAGGGUGUAUCCUGCCUUGAUGCCCGAUGACUCCUGAGAUAGGCGCAGGCUCCCCGUGACCCGAGGUAGUUCGGAUAAGCGGUAGAAAAUGGAAUGGAAUGGAAUGUCAUUCACAAUUUAAAUGUUUAGUAAAUGUUGGAAAUAACGCAAAUUUGGGUAUUAGAAGUAUUGUUCAUUGUGCGUCCAUGUAAGCUAAUCCAUUGUCUAAUCGUUAACAAAUUCAACCUUAUUGUAAAGUUUUACCAUAUCAAACUUUUUCCAAAACAUCCACCUUUUGCAGUGACAGAAAGUCACUGCUAGCAGGAAUGCCAAUACUGGUAG